rnacentral:misc_RNA from 1 species
GAUGAAGAACGCAGCGAAAUGUGAUAAGUAAUGUGAAUUGCAGAAUUCAGUGAAUCAUCGAAUCUUUGAACGCACAUUGCGCCCGCCAGUAUUCUGGCGGGCAUGCCUGUUCGAGCGUCAUUUCAACCAUCAAGCCCCAGGCUUGUGUUGGGGACCUGCGGCUGCCGCAGGCCCUGAAAACCAGUGGCGGGCUCGCUGUCACACCGGGCGUAGUAGAUUUUAUCUCGCUCAGGGCGUGCUGCGGGUUCCGGCCGUUAAGAAGCCUUUUUUACCCAAGGUUGACCUCGGAUCAGGUAGGAAGACCCGCUGAACUUAAGCAUAUCAAUAAGCGGAGGA